UACGUAGGGUGCAAGCGUUAAUCGGAAUUACUGGGCGUAAAGGGCUCGUAGGUGGCCAACUAAGUCAGACGUGAAAUCCCUCGGCUUAACCGUGGAACUGCGUCUGAUACUGGAUGGCUUGAGUUUGGGAGAGGGACGCGGAAUUCCAGGUGUAGCGGUGAAAUGCGUAGAUAUCUGGAGGAACACCGGUGGCGAAGGCGGCGUCCUGGACCAACACUGACACUGAGGAGCGAAAGCCAGGGGAGCAAACGGG
rnacentral:rRNA from 1 species